UACGUAGGUGGCAAGCGUUGUCCGGAUUUACUGGGCGUAAAGAGCGCGCAGGCGGUGCGAUCAGUCGAAUGUGAAAGCCCCCGGCUCAACUGGGGAGGGUCAUUCGAUACUGUCGGACUCGAAGGCAGGAGAGGGAAGCGGAAUUCCCGGUGUAGUGGUGAAAUGCGUAGAUAUCGGGAGGAACACCAGUGGCGAAGGCGGCUUCCUGGCCUGUUCUUGACGCUGAGGCGCGAAAGCUAGGGGAGCAAACGGG
rnacentral:rRNA from 1 species